GUCUGCUUCAUCAAGAGAGGCGUGCCUAGUAACCUGAGCGGCUCCCACACAUUCUGGACAGGAAAAGAGAAGAAAGGCGGAGGGUCUGACCUCGGCCUCAGAGGGGUAGCCACGGGCCAGCUGUGUCCUCUCUAACCCUCUCACCUGGCUGCCCGUAGCUGGACUUGCCCUUGAGCUCCUUUGAGGAGAGGGGGGUACCUCCACAUUGAAGUUCAAGUUUAUCAGAAACUUGUCUGUGCUCUGGGGCCCUGAAUGUUUGAAGCCCAACAGGAGACUGGUUCCAAGAGUCUGGGGUAGACACUUGUGGAAGGAAAACGACUUGGUCAUUGAAAGAAGAGAGUUGGGGACACAGAAUCUCAUAAGUAAAAAUGACAUAUUUUGACUUCUUCAAACCAGAAUAUUAUCAUGGAGCCUACUUAUUCCUGUUUUGAAUAAUCCCACCAGGGCUAUCUGUGGAGAUGACACUGUCUCCUUAACUGAGCAAUCACGGGCUCUAAACAGGACAGCGAGAAUGUGCAGAGGACACUCGUUGGAUGCUUGGCGGGUGCCAAGAGGAGUCGUACAUGGUGGCUGCUUCUUUUCCUCUGCCUCCACGUCAUGAUCUGCAUCAUCUUUAUCAUCAAUAUCAUUAUCAUCGGUCACUACGAUGACUCACAUCUGCCCCUCAAAAUACCUUCUUCCGCUGGACCCGAGGACGGA
rnacentral:lncRNA from 1 species